rnacentral:rRNA from 1 species
ACCUGGCGGCGGCUUACACAUGCNAGUCUCGCGGAAACGAUGAUAGCUUGCUAUCAGGCGUCGAGCGGCGGACGGGUGAGUAAUACUUAGGAAUCUACCUAGUAGUGGGGGAUAGCUCGGGGAAACUCGAAUUAAUACCGCAUACGACCUACGGGAGAAAGGGGGCAGUUUACUGCUCUCGCUAUUAGAUGAGCCUAAGUCGGAUUAGCUGGAUGGUGGGGUAAAGGCCUACCAUGGCGACGAUCUGUAGCUGGUCUGAGAGGAUGAUCAGCCACACCGGGACUGAGACACGGCCCGGACUCCUACGGGAGGCAGCAGUGGGGAAUAUUGGACAAUGGGGGCAACCCUGAUCCAGCCAUGCCGCGUGUGUGAAGAAGGCCUUUUGGUUGUAAAGCACUUUAAGCAGUGAAGAAGACUCCGUGGUUAAUACCAGCGGACGAUGACAUUAGCUGCAGAAUAAGCACCGGCUAACUCUGUGCCAGCAGCCGCGGUAAU